GAUGAACGCUGGCGGCGUGCCUAAUACAUGCAAGUCGAGCGAACGGACGAGAAGCUUGCUUUUCUGAUGUUAGCGGCGGACGGGUGAGUAACACGUGGAUAACCUACCUAUAAGACUGGGAUAACUUCGGGAAACCGGAGCUAAUACCGGAUAAUAUUUUGAACCGCAUGGUUCAAAAGUGAAAGACGGUCUUGCUGUCACUUAUAGAUGGAUCCGCGCUGCAUUAGCUAGUUGGUAAGGUAACGGCUUACCAAGGCAACGAUGCAUAGCCGACCUGAGAGGGUGAUCAGCCACACUGGAACUGAGACACGGUCCAGACUCCUACGGGAGGCAGCAGUAGGGAAUAUUCCGCAAUGGGCGAAAGCCUGACGGAGCAACGCCGCGUGAGUGAUGAAGGUCUUCGGAUCGUAAAACUCUGUUAUUAGGGAAGAACAUAUGUGUAAGUAACUGUGCACAUCUUGACGGUACCUAAUCAGAAAGCCACGGCUAACUACGUG
rnacentral:rRNA from 1 species